GAAACUUUUUCAGCUUUGUGACUGAGAGACAGCCAGCCUUUCAGCUGGGUGAGCUUUCCAGUUGCAUGAGAAAGAGCUUCAUAAGAAACCACCUACACUCUUCCCAUCCAAAAAAAUAGAAAAAAAGAAAGAGAAGAAUAUAAAAAGAAUUGCUUCUCCUCCAAAAAUACAGCUCCUAGGUGCUGCUGAAAUGAGUGAGCAGGGUAAUUGAUGAGAGUUUGGGAGCUGGGAGAGCAGUGAGCUGAUGCUUGGAGCCUUGCCGCGAUCGGACACAUAAAAUUCUAUUGCAUAGCAAUAAGGGAAUUGUAGCCUCCUCAACUUGACCCCGCUGGUGCCCAGAAUUCUAGCGACCAAGAGUGAAAUAAGCAAGAUGACCCUGGAAAUUGUGGGUAGGAGCCAGAGAACAAUGGAGAAGCCACACUGACUUACUUAGAUGAGGACGUGAGACAUGCUGUCUUUUCCCCAAAUACUGCAGGAAGAACUUCUGCCCCAACUAACUGGUAAAUGCAGCUGGAUACCAUCUGGUUUAUGUGCUUUGCCAUCACAGAUGACCUACCUCAGAUAAGCUGUAGAAGAAAAAAAAACAUAAACUGUAAGAAACCAAGAACACUCAAUAUAGAAAAAAGAGUGCUAAAUUGAACUACGCUUGAUUCCUAGCUCAAGAAAGCCAGGAUGGAUCAAGAUUACUUGAGGCCAGGCACGGUGACUCAUGCCUGUAAUUCCAGCACUUUGGGAGGCCGAGGGAAGCAGAUCACUUGAGAUCAGGAGUUCAAGACCAGCAUGGCCAACAUGGUGAAAUCCUGUCUGUACUAAAAAUACAAAAAUUAGCCGGGCUUGGUGUCUCAUGCCUGUAAUCCCAGCUACUCAGGAGGCUGAGGCUGGAGAAGCUCUUGAAUCCAGGAGGCUGAGGUUGCAGUGAGCAGAGAUCGAGCCACUGCAUUCUAGCCUGGGCAACAGAGGGAGACUCCUUCUCAAACAAAAAAAUAAUAAAAUAACUACUUGAACCAGGAAAGGGAGGGAGAAAAUGGAAAAUUAAAGAGUUAGAGUCUAUAUUAAUCAGUUUUUGCUAUGCUUUGUUGUGAAACAACCAACCUCCAAACAUCAGUAGCCUAAAGCAAUAAAGGCUUUUUCCUUACUUAUAUUACUUCAGCUGCAGUGAGCUGCCAUUAUGUUGCAUAUGUCUUUUUCUUCCAUAACACGAGCUUAAGAAGCAGUUUGAUCUGGGAUAUAUCAUUCCUAAGGCAGAGGAAAAAGAAAAAGAGAUGGCAGAGAUACUCAGUGACUAUUAAAACUUCUGCUUGGGCCUGACACGUCACUUGCUGCUUAGAUUUCAUUAACAAAUCAAGUCACUUGGCCAAGCUUGACAUUAGUUGACAUUAGUCCUUUCUAGAGUCAGCAGAUCAUUGGAACAACAGUGCAGACCAUUACAGGGCUCAUUUUCAAAUGAAGAUCAGUCAGAAAUUGUAAUACAAAAAUCAGGGGGAAAGGGAAGUAGUUCCCCAAAAUUCAACAUGCAUAAUCAGAAUCUACCCAUUUGUAGAUUACCCAUUCAUGUAAGAAAAUCCACUAAAUAAUUCAUAAUAUAUGCCUUAGAUAUGUUAGAAGCCCAUGUAGUUCAUAAAAGAACAGUGACUUCUUUAGGAAGCAUCUUUCACUCCGUGCACUGGAUUUCCAAUAAAUUCUUUUGUUUUCCGGAAGAGUGUGAAGAAUUCUCAGAUGAAAGGAAGAGCCAUAGCCUAAUCCCUGCUUUGUAUCCAGAAGCCUCUGCCUAUAGCCUGGAUUUUCAGUAUCUCUUCUGUUCUAUAAUCCUCCUCUGUAUGGACUCCUACGAGGAUAUAAAUUAUCUAUCUUCAGCCAUAAGUUUUCUGUGAUGUAUUUUCAGAAACUUCACAAUGUCUAUCCUUGCUGACAACAUAAAUCCUUUCUUCAUACUGAAAAGACCGGAAAACAAUUCUGUUUCUUUAGACGGUUCUUUGCUAUAAAACUUCUUCAUUUAAACAGCACUUUCUUAGCCCUUGUAGAAUUUGUUUUGUUGAAGUGCUUAGUCUGUCUUUGAAAUAAGCAUAUUUCAUCUAAUUUUGAAUGAUUCCAGCUGCUGGAUUACCUAUCUUGAAAGUGAGUCAGGAGACUUGUUGGUUUGGGGGGAUUAGAGAAGGAAGUAGAUUUCAAUUUUCCAAAAUGCAAGUCUGACACCUUCUGGAAAGCAUGUGACUAUUACACCCACAAGUUAGUUCCCUUGGUCCACUAUUGAGAAGGCCAGGGGUACAUGAAGUUAGAUGGGCAAAAUCUUGCAUUUUUAUUUCUAUAAACUGCUAUUUAAUAUUUAGGAUUUUCUUCAAUUAUGAAUAUGGACAACUAACCAUAGUAGUAUUAUUAGUAAUGUUGUCAACAGUAGAAAUUAUAGAUUUAAAAAAUCACAUUAUAAUUAUUGCAGAUAUCAAAAAGUAUUGUUUACACUCACCAUUACUUUGAAAUUCUGAUAGACCUGUCAUUAGAUCUCGUUACUUAAUGAGUUAGUAUAAAACACGUGCAUUAGUAUUUCAUAUAUUUGCUAUUUUAACCUUAUGACUUUUGAAUAUUUCAGCAUAAUUGGUUUUCUUUGAAAAUCUAUAUAUAUUAUUAAUAUUUGGCACACAAAGAAUAUUUUGAGAAGUUGUCUAUAGUUUACAACGAAACAGCUAUGGGUUUAUGGUACAAAAAAGAUUAAGAAUGCUUGUUCUAGAUGCAUUCUAAAAGGGAUAGAGGAGGACAAAAGAAUAUAUAGAACUACAUCUCUCUUUCACUAAAAUAAUGAUUUUUAGUUCUUGUGUAUAGAGUUAAAUGGCAAGAGUAUUUUAAUAUAAAAUAAUGUUUUGAUAUUAUAUAAUGAUUAAUGUACAAAGCUUGUCUUUCCUUUUUCUUCUCGUGAAAAUGGACCCCAAAACUGUGUCAAGGGAACUACCCCUUUUUCCUUCACUUCCCUCCCUCUACCCCCC
rnacentral:lncRNA from 1 species